rnacentral:rRNA from 1 species
AAAUUGAAGAGUUUGAUCAUGGCUCAGAUUGAACGCUGGCGGCAGGCCUAACACAUGCAAGUCGAACGGUAACAGGAAGCAGCUUGCUGCUUUGCUGACGAGUGGCGGACGGGUGAGUAAUGUCUGGGAAACUGCCUGAUGGAGGGGGAUAACUACUGGAAACGGUAGCUAAUACCGCAUAACGUCGCAAGACCAAAGAGGGGGACCUUAGGGCCUCUUGCCAUCGGAUGUGCCCAGAUGGGAUUAGCUAGUAGGUGGGGUAAAGGCUCACCUAGGCGACGAUCCCUAGCUGGUCUGAGAGGAUGACCAG